rnacentral:rRNA from 1 species
UACGUAGGGGGCUAGCGUUGUCCGGAAUCAUUGGGCGUAAAGAGCGUGUAGGCGGCUCGGCAAGUCCGCUGUGAAAGUCCAGGGCUCAACCCUGGAAUGCCAGUGGAAACUGUCGAGCUAGAGUCCGGAAGAGGCGAGUGGAAUUCCUGGUGUAGCGGUGAAAUGCGCAGAUAUCAGGAGGAACACCAAUGGCGAAGGCAGCUCGCUGGGACGGUACUGACGCUGAGACGCGAAAGCGUGGGGAGCAAACAGG